CUUUUCAUCUCCUCUCCACAGAACUGCAGCUCUGAAGAACUCAUCUCUCUUUCAAUCUAAAACCACUGAAAUCUACCAGUUUUUUAAUUUCUUAAACUCGCAAAUACAAGGGUGAACCCGUUGAGGAGAAGGUGAUGAGUUGAGUCGGUGCUGUGUAAGAAGAGUUAGAGUAACCAUUGAAGAGAAGGUGAUGGUGAUGAUAAGUUGCAGUUGAUGAAGAUUGAAGCUCGAGUUUGGUUCAAGCAGAAGGGUUUCUGUUUAAUGAAUCUGUAAAGGAGAUUGAGAGGAAUUAGGGUGGUACUGAUAAUGGAAGAACUACAAUUAGGGUUUGAGUUGAACUCAAGAAUUGAUGGUGGUGAUUCUGUUAUUUUGAAGAAUAAAUUUAGUUAAAUUAAAAAUUAGGGUUUCUUAUUCCCCAAUUCUUCAAUUGAAUUUGUUAUGAAUGCUUGAUGCAUUGUAGGUGAAAUCUGGUGGAGAAAUUGUGGUAGCAGAAUACCUAGAAGGAGUUCUGAGACAUUGAAGUUAAGGUUUGAUGCAGGGAAUGUAUGGAUUGUGGUACAGGCUUGUGAUAGAGGAUGGGUUUCUGUUGGUGGUGUUUGGGGUGCUGAGAAGAUGUUGGAUGAGAUGCUGUUGUGUGUAGGAGCUGAUUGUGCUAGAUGAGAACUGCUGGUGGUAUGUGAGGUUAGGAUGACGACAGGUUAUGGCAUUGCAGGUGAUGAUGAUGGAGUUUUUUGUGUUGAUUAACCAUUGAGCAUGGGCUAGCUAAGUCGUUCUCGGUGUUAAGGCACUUAUUUGGAAUCAUUGUCAAAAUUGGGUAUCCGAUGAGGUCGACAUAAAAUGGCUCAAUUCAUUACUUACAUACUUGAAAGAAUAUUUGAUAGGGGUCAUGAUGCAGGGAAUAAUAUGUCUCUGUAGAGUUUCUUUAUUUUAGGAUACAUUGCUGGUUUGUCUCUUAAGAAA